rnacentral:siRNA from 1 species
UGACACUUCUUAAUGAGUCGCCA